rnacentral:tRNA from 1 species
GUCGUCGUGGCCGAGUGGUUAAGGCGACAGACUUGAAAUCUGUUGGGCUCUGCCCGCACAGGUUCGAAUCCUGUCGGCUACG